rnacentral:snRNA from 1 species
AAACCUAAAUUUUUAAUAAACGUUUAAUCUGUUCUUAGCAGCUUAAUAUCUGGUACGGGUUCAAAUGGACCCCAGAAAAUUAAACAAAUUUUCGGCAUACGGUGGGAAUUCAUUGCUUAUACUGAUCCCGCCACGGGUUGACCCGGUAUUGCAGCACUUCCGAGAUCGGCUCACCCUCU